rnacentral:hammerhead_ribozyme from 1 species
AUCUGGCUGAAAAGUCUCAAAUCAGACGAAAUGUGCAUCCUGGAU